rnacentral:tRNA from 1 species
GAAGUUUAGGAUAAAAAGUCCAAGAACCUUCAAAGUUCUAAGUAAAUUAAAAAGAUUUAACUUCUG